CGAAAAUCGGAAGAUGCAGGUGAGUCGGUGCCACCGUUUGGGGUCUCUCGCCUGUCACCGUUAUCCUCUCGCAAGCGGGCAGUUCUUUCCUCUCUUUUAUUUUUUUCUCAUUCUUCCUGUUGUUGAUUUUGAAAACAGAUAUCUGGCUCGAGUGAUCUAACUACAUGUCCGCUUCUCCUCCCUAAUGACAAGAUUAUUUUAUAUCCUGUUUUUUAUCUUCAAGUUCCAAAUUUCAUUCGAUUUAUCCUAUGAGGAUUCGGUUCAAUAUCUAAGAAAAAAAAGAAUCCAGUCUCCAUUCCCUAUCCCUAUUAAGAAGUUAUGCCUGGAAUUCGAUCUACUCACCUUCUUAUGAUCAGAUUUCCAAAUUAACCAUCAUCUGGGGAAAAAUCAACUAUGUGUUGGUGAACAAAAGUGCAAGUAUGGUUCUGCGACACAUAUUUCUUGGGACAUCUUGCCAUGGUGUUUACUCUGUGAGCUUGUCACGUCCUCUGUACAGUUGCUCUAGAGACUGGCUAGAGCUCAAAAGAGGCAUGCAGUUUAAUCGGGUAAUUAAUCCACUCAGAUAGAUCGGAUUUAAGAAGAUGAUCAGAAAUGAGUGUCUUUUAGAGAGCAAACAAGCUGACGAGGAAUUCUAUUAUUCUAGACUAAAAAUGUAUUUACAAUCUACUGUAACAAAACCAUCUAUUGGUGUGUUCGGCUGCAUGUUGCAGCCGCUGCAACGCAGCCACACAGCUGCUUGCAGUGACACAAAUUACUGUGUAAUAUGGCUGUGUCACAGCUGAAAUAGGGCUGCCGAACACAACCUAUAUCUGCUAUACUUACAACCAUAGUGUCACUGUUUGUUCGCAUCCUAGAAUGAUAUAUCAAUGCUUCAUACUAUCAUAUAACAUUCCUAAAAUAUAUUAAUCAUGCA